CCCUACGGGACGCAGCAGUGGGGAAUAUUGCGCAAUGGGCGAAAGCCUGACGCAGCGGCGCCGCGUGAGGGAUGAAGGUCUUCGGAUUGUAAACCUCUGUCAGCAGGGAAGAACGGUCACUGUGCUAAUCAGCAGUGAAUUGACGGUACCUGCAAAGGAAGCACCGGCUAACUCCGUGCCAGCAGCCGCGGUAAUACGGAGGGUGCGAGCGUUAAUCGGAAUUACUGGGCGUAAAGAGCUCGUAGGCGGGGUGUCAAGUCAAUGGUGAAAUCCCCGCGCGCAACGUGGGAACUGCUUUUGAAACU
rnacentral:rRNA from 1 species